rnacentral:rRNA from 1 species
UACGUAGGGUGCAAGCGUUGUCCGGAAUUAUUGGGCGUAAAGAGCUCGUAGGCGGUCUGUUACGUCGGCUGUGAAAACCUGGGGCUCAACCCCGGGCCUGCAACCGAUACGGGCAGACUAGAGUUCGGCAGGGGAGACUGGAAUUCCUGGUGUAGCGGUGAAAUGCGUAGAGAUCCGGAGGAACACCAAAGGCGCAGGCAGUGUCCUGGGAAGUACCUGACGCUCAGGGACGAAAGCUAGGGGAGCGAACGGG